rnacentral:lncRNA from 1 species
UCUAACUGCCUUCUGAACACACACCUGCUAUGUCUUUCUGUUGAUGGGAGCUGACAAGGUGUGAAAAGAAAGCUGAUGUGUUUUCAACAAAAAGAGCUUGAUGUAAGAGCACUGCUUAGGAGUCCUUGAACAGAGCCAAGAGGGUGGCUUUGAGAUGCCACUGCAGUGCAACCAGGCAGCCCAGAGUCACCAAUGUGCCUGUCCACUCGGGCCAUGGAACUCCAUAAAAUAUAUUGGAAAAAAAAUCCUCUUUCCAGUCACCAUUAACAGCUCUCCUAAACAUUCUAGGUCUGCUGAAGAAUUUAUUUUUAUGAGUUCAAGAAGUAAAAAGCAAGUGAGUCUCAUGGUUUUAGAAUUAUGAAACUCGAAAUUUCAUUACUUUGCUUGAGAUGGGGCCUUAUGUAAUUCUGAGCUGGUGUCUGACUCUGUAUGUAGCCAAGGCUGGCCUUAACCUCCUGAUUCAUUUUGACUCUGUUUUUCCAGUGCUGUGAUUACAAACACACACCAGCAUGCCUGGCUUCACACGUUUUCUUUUUUCUUUUUCUUUUUUUUUUUUUCAAUUAAAGGUGAAAUAGAGGGUUCUACCAUUUACAAAUAAUCAGCUAUUCUAAUUAGCCAACUUUAUGUAUUUAAAUAUGAUGCUUCUCGCUGUAGCUGGGAUCUAGAAUGCACCCCAAUGGCCGACAUCUCUAAGGUGUACCUCUCAGAUUGUGGUGUUCAGAGUGGUGGACGCUUUAAGGGGUGGAGCUUAGAAAAAGGAAGUCAGGUCAUUCAGAAAGUGCCUUGGAAGGGAAUUUGAGACCCGGUCCCCAUCUCUGUAGUCUUCCUGACACCUAUCAGAUAAACAUCAGCCCCACUCUUCUGUCCCCAGAAUUUACUGCCUUAUCACAGCCCCCAAGCAUCAGAGCUAAUAGGUCACGUCAGCCGUGCAAGCCAUGACUAACAGUAGCCCUGUACCUUCUUACACUGUGCAAACUGGCUACCUCAGGUAGUUCUCAGUGGCGGAAAGCUAAUGUAGUACUGGGAAACUUUCUAAGCUUUGUUAAAGAUAUUAAUUUAUUUUAAAUUUGAAAUUUCUAAUAAUCUCUAUACUUAGCAUCACAAAAGCCACGGUAAUUAUUUCUUGUAUUUGAUAAGUAAGACUUACAUAAAAUGACAACCACUACUAUACCAUUUUAGUUUCUCAGGUGCACGCGCUUUUCCAGCUUCAGAACACAGGGGCUUCUCCAUUAGAAUAGAAACUUACAUUCAGAACGAGCUUAGUGCACACAUGUACAUAGCUGCCAAUAUCUCUCCUAAUCUUCAUUCAUUCUUGCCUCUCAUAAAUAACAAUAAGGAUAGAUAAAAGUAAAGUUAGUUUAGCUUAAUCUUGUUUCAGGUUUUUUUUCACUUUAAAUAUAUUAAAAUUCAAUUUCUUAAGCUAAACUUCACAUUAAAGUUUAACUCCUACCUCACACUGUAUAAAAAAAAAUUCACUCACAAUGUGCAAUGAAUCUAUUUAUAAAGGCUAAAACUGUAAAGACUUUGAGCAUCUCUGUGAAUACAAAUCUUUGAGGCCUUCAAUUAGACAUCCAUUUCUUUUCACAAUCUAAGAGUUAAAGCAAUGACAACCAAGUAGUAAAUUCGAUUUCCUUAGUUGUAAACACAGUAGACUGGCAAGAGAGUCCAGAGGUAAACCAUGUCUACAGUGUAAGAAUCUCCAGGUUUGAAACAAAAAAUAAAAGCAAAGACCGCCAACCAGAAAUAGAGAAAUACAUUGCAGAGCAAUGGCUCUCUCAAGAAACAGAAAACCAACCAAAUGGGAAAAAUCACUUGUCCAUUGUGUCUGAGAAGAGGCCUGUCAACACAAUGCUGGUGAGAAUAUAAAGGGGUAGUGGUGUGGCCCUCAGAAGAGUGGGAAAUUCCUUGAGAUGGUAAAGGUGUCACCCACAUGACCUAGCAGUUUCAUUCCUUGGCAUAGUUCCACAAGAAAGAGACCUAUGUUAGAUGCUAAUAACAACUUUUCCAUAAAAUGCAGCAACAGGCCUCUUUAUGACAAGCAGCCAAAGGUUGCAGCAGCCAGACAUGAUGCCUUACCCUUCCCAACCUAGUGAAUCACCCAGAGUUUGAAGCUAACCAGGACUACACGAUCAGCAUGGAGUGAAAUUUCCUGUCUCCAAUAUAAAGAAAGAAAGAAAAAGCGAAACAAUUCAAGUGUCCAUGCACUGAUAAAUGGAUGGAACAAAAUGCAGUAUAAAUACAAAAUGGAAUACUAAUGUCAAUCAAAGCAACAAAGCAAGACACAUGCUACCAUGGAGAAAGCCUAAAAACAGCAUGCUCUGUAAAGGAAACCAAACAUGAAAGACCGCAUGAGUCAUGAUCCCAUGAUUACAUGAAAUUUUUACCGUGUUUUAAUCUUUGUUCUUUUAAGGACAUCUCUUAUAGGCUGACCCCAACCUUACCACGUAGCCAAAACAGCCUUUAAUUCCUGAUCCUCCUGCCUCUCCUUCCCAAGUUCUUGGCUUACCAGCAUGUACCAUCAUCACUAGAUUGAAAGUGUAAUUCUAGAGACUGGAAGUUAAAUAGUUGCUAGGGAGAAAAGAAGGUAGCCGUUCUGGCAUGAAGAAUUUCAUUUUAGAGUAGUAAAAACAUUCUACCAUUAUAGAUUGUAUAAGUGAGUACCAAAAUACUGACCAUGCUGAAGACAUUGAACCACAUACUUCUCAAAGGUGAAUUUGCUGCUGUUUCAAUGAAUGUCGGUCCUCAGAAAUCUAUGCACCCUGACAGGGUUGCUUCACAAUAUGUCCAUGAACCCCAGGAUCUUGAAGUGAUGGGAUUUUCUUGGCCUAACGACAGCGGUGAUUUGAAGGGAGAGGCUGCCAGGUGUGAUGCAGCCAUCAUUUGUAACCAAGACAAUUGUCUCUAUGGCUUUUAAUUCUCAAGUCUCUAUAGCUGUUAAGAUACGGUGUCUAUUUCAUCCCAUAGUGGAGUGAUCUCCACACUUUCCGUCUCAUUCCAAUGUCCUUCCUCACAGAUGGAAAUGAUUGAGCCUAGUCUACAUCACCUUUGGGACAUGGAUUGCUAUAAUACAAAUCCCAGAAAGCAAGCCCUUGUCCAGGAGACAGCAUCAACUUUAUUAUACUCAUCUACUUGUUAUGGGAAUGAAUGCAAGGGAGCAGAGGGAGGACAAAGAUUGGAAGAAAACUGUACUUUCGGUUCAAUAACCUAUAAUUUAUUUCAGUAGGAAAUACUUUAAAGGGCAUUUAACUUCUGCUUAUGUUAAAAAAAAAGAGAGAAGAUACUACCAGGUUUAUUUCAGAAGCAGUAUUUGAACAUUGAUGAAUCUACACUGAUAUAUCUCAAAACAUUUUUAGGACUAAGAGUUCCAAAUUGCACAGGCCAGGAAACUAAUUGUUGCAGUCCUCUUAUUAUGGUAACAUAAAUAUUGAAGUUAGUCAAAUACUAGAAACUGCAAUUAAAACUUUGUUUGGAACCCAAAUAAUUACCUCUAAUAUUUCUAUUUUUGUACUCUUGAGAGUUUGUGUGUUUAUUCAGAAAAUAUUUGAGCUGCUGCCUGGGCAUGUGACUAGGUCAGUGGACUCACAUUUGCUUUGUUUUGUUGUUAUUGUCGUUGCUUUUUUAUAAAAUGAAUUUGUAAAACUAUUUAUGAAAUGCAUUAGUGUUUUUCUUAAAAAAAGAUUUAUUUAUAUUUUGUGUAUGAGUCCACUGUAGCUGUCUACAGACAUCCCAGAAGAGGGCGUCAGAUACUAUUAAAGAUGGUUACGAGCCACUAUGUGGUUGCUGGGAAUUGAAUUCAGGACCUCUGUUCCAGCUCAAAAAUCCUUUGUUCACACUGUGACUAUUCCACUACAUUUUAGUGACCAAAAAAUAAAAAAAGAAAACCAAAAAACC